rnacentral:lncRNA from 1 species
GAAGUACAGAUGUACAAACAAGCAGUGAGUGUACUAAUAAGAGGGGGAGAGGAAGCAGCUAUAAAUAUGGACCUUUUUAAAGAGCAUCUUAUUGGAGUCCUACCAUGAAUUUUUGAGCACCAUGGUUUAAGGGCAGUGGAAAGCUCCUCAGUCGACACUGUCAUGAAGGGGCUGCGCUCAACAAUGCACAAGGUUUAUUACACUCAAAAACAAUGAACUUCGACAGCAAAACAAGAUUCAGGACUCUGUAAAUUGGAAACUAAAUUACGGAAGCCAUGUACUUCCCGAGAUAUUUCCAGGACCCAGCUCACGGCCGAUGGAAACGUUUUACUGAGAGAAUGGCUUUGGUGAACGUAGCUCAAGCCAGGAUGUGGCCUCAGCCUUGCAGAGCGGGAACCUCAGUCUUGUCAAUGCCCUAGAGUUCACCGGUCUGGGGGAGGCUAACUCGCACUCCCAAAUUCAAAAAAGACUGACGAACACGCCAGAAUGGGACAGGGAAAUUUCAGAAGGAGAAAUGAACCUGUUGGAAGGGACUAGAGCUCAUUCUACUUGGCUGGAGAAGCCUCUUCUCUCCCUGUGGGCAGAGGGACAUGGGAACUCAAAUGGAAUUGGGAAACCUUGAUGGGGAGGACGGAAUCUGAUGAUGUGACGGCUCGUGCACUUCAGGUUUCCUAAACGAGGUGAUCCAGUCCUGCUCUGGGAUUAUCCGCCACAGCACCAGGCCCAGGGAAUCCUUUCUGUGCUGCAUGGCCCGUGCACGCCUCUCUCCCUCCACCUGUCCUUGGAUCACCAGCUGCCUAAAGAAGCAUUGCUUUUCUUUUGAUGCAUCCAUUCCUUCCAACAACACAGAGCCAGGUCUGGCUCUGGCCUGUGAGCUGCUUCAUCUCGUUAAGACCAUCUCAAUACCAGACAAUUGUUCUGAGAAACAAAAGUCUUCUUCCAUUAAGGGCACCGACUGUCUUAGAACUUCAUUGAAGAGACAUCUAGUGGGGCUGAGGCAGAAAAGUGUCACUCUGAAUUCUGCAUCCCGAGGGCUGGAAGAUUCAGUGUCAAGAGGGACCUCUAGUGUUCUGCGAAAAUUCGACUCAACAAGGCGGAAGAUUCUUUCGAUGCCGUGUCCUAUUUUCCAUUUGUCAAACAAUAGUGUACUUUUAUUCACAGUUUGCCAUUUUAGCUAUAAAAUAAAGAGGUGUAGACUAUUCAGGAUUUCUGUCUAG